rnacentral:rRNA from 1 species
UACGAAGGGGGCUAGCGUUGCUCGGAAUCACUGGGCGUAAAGGGUGCGUAGGCGGGUCUUUAAGUCAGGGGUGAAAUCCUGGAGCUCAACUCCAGAACUGCCUUUGAUACUGAAGAUCUUGAGUUCGGGAGAGGUGAGUGGAACUGCGAGUGUAGAGGUGAAAUUCGUAGAUAUUCGCAAGAACACCAGUGGCGAAGGCGGCUCACUGGCCGGAUACUGACGCUGAGGCACGAAAGCGUGGGGAGCAAACAGG